GCCGGGGCGAGGGGCUGGGCUUGGAGGACGGCGAAGGUUUGGGCGAGGGGCUGGGCUGGGGAGAAGGUGAAGGCUUGGGCGAGGGGCUGCGGUCAUCAUCAUCGUCGUUGCCAUCAUCAUCGUCGUCGUCGUCAUCAUUGUCAGGUGAAGGGCUAGGCCGGGGCGAGGGGCUGGGCUUGGGGGACGGCGAGGGUUUGGGCGAGGGGCUGGGCUGGGGAGAAGGUGAAGGCUUGGGCGAGGGGCUGCGGUCAUCAUCAUCGUCGUUGCCAUCAUCAUCGUCGUCGUCGUCAUCAUUGUCAGGUGAAGGGCUAGGCCGGGGCGAGGGGCUGGGCUUGGGGGACGGCGAGGGUUUGGGCGAGGGGCUGGGCUGGGGAGAAGGUGAAGGCUUGGGCGAGGGGCUGCGGUCAUCAUCAUCGUCGUUGCCAUCAUCAUCGUCGUCGUCGUCAUCAUUGUCAGGUGAAGGGCUAGGCCGGGGCGAGGGGCUGGGCUUGGGGGACGGCGAGGGUUUGGGCGAGGGGCUGGGCUGGGGAGAAGGUGAAGGCUUGGGCGAGGGGCUGCGGUCAUCAUCAUCGUCGUUGCCAUCAUCAUCGUCGUCGUCGUCAUCAUUGUCAG
rnacentral:lncRNA from 1 species